UAACCUGCUAAAUAGCCCGUAUUGCUUUGGCAGUACGCUGGCUUCUUAGAGGGACUAUCGGCGUAAGUCGAUGGAAGUUUGAGGCAAUAACAGGUCUGUGAUGCCCUUAGAUGUCCUGGGCUGCACGCGCGUUACACUGACGGAGCCAGCGAGUUCUUCCUUGUCCGAAAGGUCCGGGUAAUCUUGUUAAGCUCCGUCGUGCUGGGGAUAGAGCAUUGCAAUUAUUGCUCUUCAACGAGGAAUCCCUAGUAAGCGCAAGUCAUCAGCUCGCGUUGAUUACGUCCCUGCCCUUUGUACACACCGCCCGUCGCU
rnacentral:rRNA from 1 species